AACGAGCCACGCAACGCUAAUCGACGAGAGGCAACGAUGCGAUGACGAGAGAAGCUUCAAGCCAGACUUCCUCCAACCCCACCAGCAUCACUGCAGAUUGCGGCUGGUCACGGCGCGCUUCAGCAGCAACAGGCAGGGUUCAGGGAGAUGAUACCCGCUUGGCAAAGAGUAACUCAUUUUGAUGCCUCUCGCUACCCCUGGCCUUAGUUUUAAAGGAAUCAUGCGACACACUCGCACUCCACUACCCCAUCCCAUGGAAAAACGCUCCCACCAUCGAGGUGUUGACCAAAAUUUCGCUAUGUGCAUGAGACACACACUCGCACUCUUCCAGCCCUCCACAGCUGAACGCUCCCACCGUUGCGAAGUUUGCGAGAAUUUUUGCUCUGAGCGUGAGAUCCUGAAGCACCAGAGAUGACACUAUGUGUAAAGACGAUCAUAAUUCGGUAUGGUCAAAAUGCGUCGAUUGUCGUUUCAUUUAUCUGGUAAUGAUGUAUUCACUUCAUCAAAAUUUUAAACGUUCACAACUAGACUGAUAACAAUAUUUGAAUUUUUAAUCAGAAUAAAACCAAUUCAUUUGAAGCAAAAUAAAUUCCAUUAUACUUUAUUUUGACCAUAUGAUCAACACUUGUACAUAGUGCCAUUUACUUUGUGUUCUUCACUCUCGCGCUGUGUUUUGAUCGUUCGAAACUCAUUGCCAGAACGAAUGCAAAUUUCAUAUGGGAAUGAUCGGUGCCGGUAGAUGCAGCGAAAAUUAUGAAAUGAUAAUAGAAAAGUGGUUAAGUUAAUUGUGAAAGAUGUCAACGCAGACGUAAAUGUAGUAUGUUUUGUUACAUGAUCUACGGGUAAGUGCAUGCAUAAGAAGAAGAAUCUUCCAAAUGAUGUUUGUGUUCAAACAAUCGUACUGCUUUCAAUGUUUGUUUAUUUUUCUAUUAUUUUCCAUCACACCUAGCUAUUUCAUUACCAAAGCUCCUGAUAACAGAUCAAAGCAGAUGGAUCGGGCAUACAGAGUCGCCGUUUAAUUUAAAAUAUCUGCGUGAUCGCAAACGCAUCAAACAGCAAGUGUUUUUCCUUCCAACAGCACGCACCAUCGGUGGUGCAGCAGCUAACGUUUUGUUCGCCUAGCGCGCACUAUCAAGAAUUGAUAUUUUGCCAAACAGUACUGUGAAUAAAAAACUGCACACUUACUGUAGGAA